rnacentral:rRNA from 1 species
UACGGGGGGAGCAAGCGUUGUUCGGAUUUACUGGGCGUAAAGGGCGCGUAGGCGGCGUGACAAGUCACUUGUGAAAUCUCCGGGCUUAACUCGGAACGGUCAAGUGAUACUGUCGGACUAGAGUACAGAAGGGGCAACUGGAAUUCUCGGUGUAGCGGUGAAAUGCGUAGAUAUCGAGAGGAACACCUGCGGCGAAGGCGGGUUGCUGGGCUGAUACUGACGCUGAGGCGCGAAGCCAGGGGAGCGAACGGG